UACGGAGGAUCCAAGCGUUAUCCGGAAUCAUUGGGUUUAAAGGGUCCGUAGGCGGUCUAGUACGUCAGUGGUGAAAGCCCAUCGCUCAACGGUGGAACGGCCAUUGAUACUGCUGGACUUGAAUUAUUGGGAAGCAACUAGAAUAUGUAGUGUAGCGGUGAAAUGCUUAGAGAUUACAUGGAAUACCAAUUGCGAAGGCAGGUUGCUACCAAUUGAUUGACGCUGAUGGACGAAAGCGUGGGUAGCGAACAGG
rnacentral:rRNA from 1 species